rnacentral:rRNA from 1 species
AUUGAACGCUGGCGGCAGGCCUAACACAUGCAAGUCGAACGGUAACAGGAAGAAGCUUGCUUCUUUGCUGACGAGUGGCGGACGGGUGAGUAAUGUCUGGGAAACUGCCUGAUGGAGGGGGAUAACUACUGGAAACGGUAGCUAAUACCGCAUAAUGUCGCAAGACCAAAGAGGGGGACCUUCGGGCCUCUUGCCAUCGGAUGUGCCCAGAUGGGAUUAGCUAGUAGGUGGGGUAACGGCUCACCUAGGCGACGAUCCCUAGCUGGUCUGAGAGGAUGACCAGCCACACUGGAACUGAGACACGGUCCAGACUCCUACGGGAGGCAGCAGUGGGGAAUAUUGCACAAUGGGCGCAAGCCUGAUGCAGCUAUGCCGCGUGUAUGAAGAAGGCCUUCGGGUUGUAAAGUACUUUCAGCGGGGAGGAAGGGAGUAAAGUUAAUACCUUUGCUCAUUGACGUUACCCGCAGAAGAAGCUCCGGCUAACUCCGUG